GGUUUGAUUCUGGCUCAGGAUGAACGCUGGCGGCGUGCUUAACACAUGCAAGUCGAACGGGCGAAUUAUAUCGGAGGUCUUCGGGCCGAAGAGAUAAUAAGCUAGUGGCGGACGGGUGCGUAACGUGUGGGUAAUCUGCCUUUGUCAUAGGAAUAACUGCUUGAAAAAGUAGCUAAUACCAAAUAACAUAUCGUAUAGGCAUCUAUAAGAUAUCAAAGAGAAAUCGGACAAAGAUGAGCCCGCAUCUGAUUAGCUGGUUGGUAGGGUAAAAGCCUACCAAGGCGACGAUCAGUAGCCGGCCUGAGAGGGUGAACGGCCACAUUGGAACUGAGACACGGUCCAAACUCCUACGGGAGGCAGCAGUGGGGAAUAUUGCACAAUGGGGGGAACCCUGAUGCAGCAACGCCGCGUGAGUGAAGAAGGCUUUCGAGUCGUAAAACUCUGUUGUAAGGGAAGAUAAUGACG
rnacentral:rRNA from 1 species